rnacentral:lncRNA from 1 species
UUCGAUAUUGUUGUAGAUCCUGUGGAUCACUGUAUCUUUGGUUGUUCGCUCCUGGUGUUCUAGGAUUUGCGGAUCUAACUGUUGUGGUUUUAGAUCGUCUCGAUCUAGUCUUUGAAGGCAUGCGUUAGUCUUUGUAGCCCUACAAGGCUACAAGGCAAACUAACUGGGUGUUUGUGAUAUUUGCUGCUUUUGAUCUGAUUUUAUAACCCUAGAAAGUUAUUGAUCGGAUUUGAUUAAGGAGGGAGUUAAACGCUGUUGUAAGCCUGUUCUAUUCUUUAUUUUUCUUUUGUUGAUUGGUUUAGUUGAUGCCGGGUAGAGAGGACCGACUUUAUUGUGCAUCUGUCUGUUCUAGUAUUAAUUCUGUUGUUUUUGGCUCCUGAGUAAAGGCUUGUCGAGGCACCAUGGAGUGACGAACCUGGAAUCUGGUCCCUGACUCAGCUUCGCC